rnacentral:rRNA from 1 species
CCUACGGGUGGCAGCAGUGAGGAAUAUUGGUCAAUGGUCGGGAGACUGAACCAGCCAAGCCGCGUGAGGGAGGAAGGUACAGAGUAUCGUAAACCUCUUUUGUCAGGGAACAAAGACUGGGACGCGUCCCCGGAUGAGUGUACCUGAAGAAAAAGCAUCGGCUAACUCCGUGCCAGCAGCCGCGGUAAUACGGAGUAUGCGAGCGUUAUCCGGAUUUAUUGGGUUUAAAGGGUGCGCAGUCGGUCUGUUAAGUCAGCGGUAACACCCCGGGGUUCAACCCCGGCCCGCCGUUGAAACUGGGAGUCUCGAGUUGGAGAGAAGUAUGCGGAAUGCGCGGUGUAGCGGUGAGAUGCAUAGAUAUCGCGCAGAACUCCGAUUGCGAAGGCAGCAUGCCGGCUCCACACUGACGCUGAGGCACGAAAGCGUGGGUAUCGAACAGGAUUAGAUACCCGUGUAGUC